rnacentral:rRNA from 1 species
CCUACGGGAGGCAGCAGUGAGGAAUAUUGGUCAAUGGACGAGAGUCUGAACCAGCCAAGUAGCGUGAAGGAUGACUGCCCUAUGGGUUGUACACUUCUUUUAUAUGGGAAUAAAAUGUUCCACGUGUGGGAUUUUGUAUGUACCAUAUGAAUAAGGAUCGGCUAACUCCGUGCCAGCAGCCGCGGUAAUACGGAGGAUCCGAGCGUUAUCCGGAUUUAUUGGGUUAAAAGGGAGCGUAGGUGGAUUGUUAAGUCAGUGGUAAAAUUGAGGGGCUCAACCCCUUCCCGCCAUUGAAACUGGCGCUCUUGAGUGGAAGAGAAGUAUGCGGAAUGCGUGGUGUAGCGGUGAAAUGCAUAGAUAUCACGCAGAACCCCGAUUGCGAAGGCAGCAUGCCGGCUUCCGACUGACGCUGAAGCACGAAAGCGUGGGGAUCGAACAGGAUUAGAUACCCGGGUAGUC